CUGUCUUGGGGCCACAGAGGUGGUUCCCCAACUCACACGGACAUAGGGGGCAGAGGCUGAGCCGAGCCAGCUGUUUGCCCCCCAACUUCUCCCAGAGCCGGCACCAAGCCCACCCCAUCCUCCUCCCAGGGCCCUGCCAAUGUGCAGGGCCCAGGGUUCCAUCCCCAGCCCCUUUCCACACGCCAACAUGCCCUUUACACGCACAACCCUCACAGCACAUGCGUCCCCCACAGUACACAGGCUCCCUCCCCCACAUCAUUGUCACACGCCAUCCCCUGUGACAGACACACCACAUUUCACACCCAGUCCCCGUGCAGCUCCAACACCGACAGUCACGCAACCCUGCCACACGCACUGGGGAGGCUGCUCAGCCAGAGAUCCCCAACCACUGGACAAGGCGCCCCCCGCAGCACCAUGCUGAAUGCCAGCGCCCCCUGCCCGUCCAACGCCUCGCGCUGCGGGGUGGAUUUCCAGGCUGGCCAGGAGCUGGUGGUCUCUCUCUACGGUGCCGUCUUCCUGCUGGGCCUGGCCACCAACGCGCUGACCCUGUGGCCCAUCGUGCAGCAGGUGCGGCUGGGCAACGUGCUGGCUGUCUACCUGCUGGGCCUGGCCGCCUCCGACGUGCUUUACCUGCUCACCCUGCCGCUGUGGAUGCUUUACGUGUGGCGCGGGCACCGGUGGACCCUGAGCAGCCUGGCCUGCCACGCCGCCGGCUUCGUCUUCUACUCCAACAUGUACGUCAGCGUCCUGCUCCUCUGCCUCAUCUCCCUGGAGCGCUACCUGGCCGUGGCGCACCCGCUCCGCUCCCUGGGGCUGCGGAGCCGCCGCUCGGCCGCCGUCGCCAGCGCCGUGGUGGCCCUGCUGGUUUUCACCUUCCACAUGGGCAUCGCCCUGCGCUCCCCGGAGCCGGCCAACGCCUCCUGCUACGACAGCUACCCACUGCAGCCCGGCGUGGCCAGGUUCAACUACUUCCGGGUGGCUGGCGGCUUCGCGCUGCCCUUGCUGGUCCUGGGGGUCUCCUACCUCAAGAUCUUCCAGGGGGUGCGGGCCAGCAACACCCUGCUGGACUGGCAGAAGGCCAAGGUGAAGCGUCUCUCGAUGGGCGUCAUUGCCAUCUUCCUGCUCUGCUUCGCCCCCUACCACCUGCUGCUGCUGGUGCGGACAGUGGCCUCCGCAGUGCUAGAUGGCUGCUCCCUCUGCUCCUUCGAGCAGCGGCUCCACCUGCCCUUCUCCCUGGCCCUGGCCCUGUCCAGCCUCAACAGCGCCCUGGACCCCGUCCUCUACGCCCUGGUGAGCGACAGCAUCAAGGGGGACCUACGGAAGGUGUUCAGCUGCGUGGUGCGUGCCCCGGCACCCGGAACAAUCACCUCUCUGGCCUUGUGACCGGGGCUGGCAUGGCACCGACCGAGGGAAACUGGAUCGGGGAUGUCCGAUGGCACCAGAAGGGGGAGCGACGUGCUUAGGAACAUCGGCCUCGCCCAUGGGAGAAAGCCUGCAGCGUCAUGCCCGAUGGCACCAAGAGACGCAGCUGGAUCCAUGGGCGGAUGCCAAAGACUGGAGGGGUGGGGUCUGGGGCCCAGCAAUGGCUAAGGGGGUGGAUUAGGAAGCUUGCCAAUGAGGCUGCAUAGACGGGGGCAUUGUGGGAAGGGGACAGCCCUGCCUGGGAGCUUGCGCUCAGCGGCCGAGGGGUCGCUCUGUCGCUGGGAUCCCAGGCACUGCGUGGGGUUUGUGGGGAGCGAAGAACUGAGAACUCUGCCGAGAACAGGGUACAGGACAGGAGGUGCUCCAAAGAGGGCAAAGGAUUAUUUAGCAGGAGCAAUGAGGGGCAAUAAAGACAGGGCGGGUACAGGAGGGUAUGAUUCCCUAACAGCGAGGCUGGGGUAUCCUCUCUGCCGGGGAUGGAGCCCAUCUCAUCGGGGGCUUAAAUUGAGGGGCCCAUGAUGUUGAGAAGAGGGCGUCUCCCCCCAGCAAGGGAUAAAUGGGUAACAAUCCCUCGUUCACUGUCCCAGCACUAAAGUGUGGUCUGGGGCUGGACAUCAAGUUUUGUAGGUGACUUUCACUGCAACAACCACUGAUGAACAUCCUUUACGCCUUUUCUUACAAGGACCUUGAAAAAGACGGGAAAACAGUCCAAGUCCUAAAGGAGGCUUCUCUUUUAACGAGGUGUCAGCGCCUGUAGCAAUAGAAGGUUGUUAUAGACUCUUUCAGCCCGUUGCCAUGCCGACCCCUGACAUUCCCAGGGGCCCUGCAGCCCCCUUAGCCACACAUCUUUUAACUUCAACGAUCCACCCCGGAUCUGCCCAUUUGUCGCCAGCUUUUCGGACUCGGUUCCCGGAUCAGGCUGACAAUCCAGGCGUCUUUACAGCGGGCCCUGGAACGCUGGCCGACGGGACUGCCUCAGCUGUGUAUGCCGGCGCCGAGAUGCUGCUCGCGGCACUCUGGGCCAUACAGACUGCAGGGUGAGUGCCCAGCUGAUGAAUAAAGACCAGGAUCCUGAGCCUUGUCCUUUCUACUCACCCAUGGGACCCACUAGUGGAUUCCCCCUCACCACACACACGUCAGAUCCAUGAGCAAACUCUGUCAGGUCCAAGACACAGGAAAGAUUUGGAUCCACUGGGACGUGAGGGGAUGGAAGUGUGGGGAGCCGCGGUGUUUGCCUGGCUAUGAAAUUGGUUUCAGGUGGUGUCAGUGCCCCCCGGGUUGUUAUUGACGUGAACUAGGGGAGAUCAGUGGGCCCCAGACCAGGGUCGCAUCGGGCCCUGUCGCGCUGGGCGCUGCAUAGGCCCAGAAUGAAAACACGGUUCCAUGCCCUGAAAGGUUCACAGGGCAUGUCUGUGAGUCGCAGGUGUAAUUUCUGGCUGGAGGAGGCGUACUGAGCAAGCUGGCCCGCUAAAAACCCCCAUGGUGUUGUCGUGGCUUCCCGGGCGGUGGGAUAGGCAAGUACAAUCCUGGCCGAGAUGCUAGCUGUGUACUCCAGCAGCUCCCACUCCCGCCGCAGUGGCCAACCUGCUAUUUUUAGCGCCCUAACUCAAGCAGAGCUUGUGUAUGUCUGCUCCUCCCAGCUCCAGUGUGAAUGUACACCCCCUCCCGCGAUGGACUAGGGACCGGUGACGGUGUUCCCGUCCCAGGAAAAUAGUCAAGGUUCUGGGAAAUUUCCCCAUCUCGAACGGAGAUGGAGAGUCCAAAUCUCGAAAACCUUCGGGACAUGAACAGUCAACGUUGGUUUGUGUUCAGGUCGCUGGAAACGUUUCGUUUUUGAACUUUCUUCAUUUCGGUUGAAACGACAAUUAGCUCAAUCGCUGCCGGAAAAGGCCUUUCAAGCCAGGAAACUGCAAUGUGCCGCUCAGACGACAGCAAGAUGGGACAUUUUGACAAUUUUAUAAACUUUUUUCCACCUUUUCAAGUCAAGAAAUUCCCCAGAAUCGACCCGGCCCUGCAAACAGUUCUGGUUUUCGAUUAAUCGAAUUUUUUGGAUGGGAAAAGUCUCAUUGAAAAUUCCCUGACUUAUCAACAGGUCUGGGACAUGCCUACACCGUGUUAACGUAUCACAUGCACUGACCCCUACAGAGCAUCCCCCUCUAGUGGCAAGGCGCCUGCUCGCGGUUUGUGACUUGGCUACAGGUUACGGAGCGAAUACAGCAGCUUCUUUGGAUCAUGCUCUUCGAGCCAGGGAUCUGUUCCCGGGGAGUGUCAGCACACACCACCGCUUGUCCGUCUGCCUCACCCUUGCUAGGCGCACAGUCUCCUUGGCCCCUUCAGCCCUCGGGGGCCUGCUGGGCUGGUCGUUUUGAAGCUGGACACGGCUGUCUUACUAGAAACUGCUCAAGGCUUUGUUUAAGUCAGGCUGCUAGCUGGGUCUAGCUGUACUUGUGCAAACCCCUCGUGCAGAUGGGCUGCGAUGGUGUAAGCCGUGACUCGCACCAGCAUGGACAAGUCUGAUUCUGCCGUUCUUGGUCUGGAAAGUUUCUGGGAGGGGAGUGGGGUCUAGUGGUUGGAGGGGGGGGCUGGGAGCCAGGACUCCUGGCUUCUAUCCCCAGCUCUGGGAAGGGAGUGGGGUCUAGUGGCUAGAGCGGGGAGGCCGGGAGUCAGGACUCCUGGGUUCUGUUCCCCCCUCCCAGCUUGGGGAGGGGAGUGGGGUCUAGUGAAUAGAGCUGCCGGGGGUGGGAGGGUCUGGGAGUCAGGACUCCUGGGUUCCCUUUCCAGCCCUGCCUGUCUUUAUUAAAAGUGCCCGAUC